UACGUAGGGUGCAAGCGUUGUCCGGAAUUAUUGGGCGUAAAGAGCUCGUAGGCGGUCUGUCGCGUCGGCUGUGAAAACCCGGGGCUCAACCCCGGGCCUGCAGUCGAUACGGGCAGACUAGAGUGCGGUAGGGGAGAUUGGAAUUCCUGGUGUAGCGGUGGAAUGCGCAGAUAUCAGGAGGAACACCGAUGGCGAAGGCAGAUCUCUGGGCCGUAACUGACGCUGAGGAGCGAAAGCGUGGGGAGCGAACAGG
rnacentral:rRNA from 1 species